GAUGAACGCUGGCGGCGUGCCUAAUACAUGCAAGUCGAGCGAACGGACGAGAAGCUUGCUUCUCUGAUGUUAGCGGCGGACGGGUGAGUAACACGUGGAUAACCUCCCUAUAAGACUGGGAUAACUUCGGGAAACCGGAGCUAAUACCGGAUAAUAUUUUGAACCGCAUGGUUCAAAAGUGAAAGACGGUCUUGCUGUCACUUAUAGAUGGUUCCGCGCUGCAUUAGCUAGUUGGUAAGGUAACGGCUUACCAAGGCAACGAUGCAUAGCCGACCUGAGAGGGUGAUCGGCCACACUGGAACUGAGACACGGUCCAGGGUCCUACGAGAGGCAGCAGUAGGGAAUCUUCCGCAAUGGGGGAAAGCCUGACGGAGCAACGCCGCGUGAGUGAUGAAGGUCUUCGGAUCGUAAAACUCUGUUAUUAGGGAAGAACAUAUGUGUAAGUAACUGUGCACAUCUUGACGGUACCUAAUCAGAAAGCCACGGCUAACUACGUG
rnacentral:rRNA from 1 species